rnacentral:rRNA from 2 species
AGAGUUUGAUCCUGGCUCAGAUUGAACGCUGGCGGCAGGCCUAACACAUGCAAGUCGAGCGGCAGCGGGAAAGUAGCUUGCUACUUUUGCCGGCGAGCGGCGGACGGGUGAGUAAUGCCUGGGGAUCUGCCCAGUCGAGGGGGAUAACUACUGGAAACGGUAGCUAAUACCGCAUACGCCCUACGGGGGAAAGCAGGGGACCUUCGGGCCUUGCGCGAUUGGAUGAACCCAGGUGGGAUUAGCUAGUUGGUGAGGUAAYGGCUCACCAAGGCGACGAUCCCUAGCUGGUCUGAGAGGAUGAUCAGCCACACUGGAACUGAGACACGGUCCAGACUCCUACGGGAGGCAGCAGUGGGGAAUAUUGCACAAUGGGGGAAACCCUGAUGCAGCCAUGCCGCGUGUGUGAAGAAGGCCUUCGGGUUGUAAAGCACUUUCAGCGAGGAGGAAAGGUUGGUAGCUAAUAACUGCCAGCUGUGACGUACUCGCAGAAGA